rnacentral:rRNA from 1 species
UACGUAGGGGGCAAGCGUUGUCCGGAAUCAUUGGGCGUAAAGCGUGUGUAGGCGGCUUCGCAAGUCGGAUGUGAAAGCCCCGGGCUCAACCCGGGAAGUGCACUCGAUACUGCGGAGCUAGAGUGUCGGAGAGGUUGGUGGAAUUCUCGGUGUAGAGGUGAAAUUCGUAGAUAUCGAGAGGAACACCGGUGGCGAAGGCGGCCAACUGGACGAACACUGACGCUGAGACACGAAAGCGUGGGGAGCAAACAGG